rnacentral:rRNA from 1 species
UAAUACGUAGGGGGCGAGCGUUAUUCGGAAUUACUGGGUGUAAAGGGUAUGUAGGCGGCCUGACAAGUCGCGUGUCAAAGUCCAGCGCUCAACGCUGGGUUCGCACGCGAUACUGUCAGGCUUGAGGACUGGAGAGGUGAGCGGAAUUCCCGGUGUAGUGGUAAAAUACGUAGAUAUCGGGAGGAACACCAGCGGCGUAGGCGGCUCACUAGACAGUUUCUGACGCUAAGAUACGAAAGCGUGGGGAGCAAACAGGAUUAGAUACCCUGGUAGUCCACGCCCUAAACGAUGGAUACUUGGUGUUGGGGGGUUACCUUCAGUGCCGGAGCUAACGCGUUAAGUAUCCCACCUGGGGACUACGGCCGCAAGGCUAAAACUUAAAGGAAUUGACGG